rnacentral:rRNA from 1 species
GGUAACUGUGGGUAAGAUGAGGCGGGAAUACAGAGGUGGCGAUAGUUGAUCGGAGUUACGUGGCGUAAAGCUGGUGUGGGUGGUGAAUGAAGGCAAAUGUGAAAGCACCGAGGGUAACUUGGGAAUUGCAGUCGAGACGGGUUAGCUAGAGUAGGGGAGAGGAUGGUAGAAUUCCAGGUGUAGCGGUGAAAUGCGUAGAGAUCUGGAGGAAUACCGAUGGAGAAGGCAGCCAUCUGGCCUAAUACUGACACUGAGGUGCGAAAGCAUGGGGAGCAAACAGGAUUAGAUACCCGAGUAGUC